GAAAGCGGCAAUGCCGAACUGAAUGGCAAGAAGCUAUAAGAACAACUAUCGUAUAGAAAAUUAAUCACACUGCUACUUAAAAUCAUCUAAUAAAACGAAUUGAUACUAAGAACUUCCUGAACAAUGAGUUUACCAAACUACGUAAUCAAAAUAAAAUGAUAAUGCUGGUUAAUCAAUAGAAAUAUUAUCCGUUUCUAAUUAAGCAGAGAAUUCCGUACCAUCUCCAUUGAUAACUCACAAGAACGACGACCUAGCAGCGCUCCCGUACUGAGAUCGACGAAUGUUAUCCUGGCGCUUCUUGUACACGAAUCCUCCUAUUCCGACGAAACACACUGCUGCAAUCACUCCAACUGCAAUUCCAGCCUUCUUUCCUCCAUUCAUCCCGCCUUUGGAGGCUUCGGAGUCUUCUCCACCGCCAGUGGAAGUGCUGUUACUGAAAUCGCUGUCGGCCGUUGGUGAAGGAGAGGGAGUCGGUGGCAGAGAAGGAACAGGCGCUGGAGAUGGAGUUGGAGUGAGAUCUGAGGGAGGAGGUGCAGGAGGAGAAUGCAGAGGCGAUUCGACCGGAGAACUCGCUGGAGCGUGAGGGAAUGGAGUAGGAGAAGGUAAUGGAGGAGAAUUUUCAGGAGAUUCAGGAGAUGGAGAAGGAGAAAGUUGCUGCGAUAGUUCCAAAGAGAAAACGUCGUUGAUCACUAGCGAAACGAAGAUGAAAAGAAGAGAAGAGAAUGCAAUGGAUUUCGCCAUUUUCGUAGUGAGCAGAAGA
rnacentral:misc_RNA from 1 species